rnacentral:rRNA from 1 species
CCUACGGGUGGCAGCAGUGGGGAAUAUUGCUCAAUGGGGGAAACCCUGAUGCAGCGACGCCGCGUGGGUGAUGAAGUUUUUCGGAUUGUAAACUCCUAUUAUUAGAGAAGAUAAUGACGGUAUCUAACGAAUAAGCACCGGCUAACUCCGUGCCAGCAGCCGCGGUAAUACGGAGGGUGCAAGCGUUACUCGGAUUCACUGGGCGUAAAGGGAGCGUAGGCGGGAUAGCAAGUCAGAUGUGAAAUCCUAUGGCUUAACCAUAGAACUGCAUUUGAAACUGUUAUUCUAGAGUACGGGAGAGGUAGGUGGAAUUCUUGGUGUAGGGGUAAAAUCCGUAGAGAUCAAGAGGAAUACUCAUUGCGAAGGCGACUUGCUAGAACAUAACUGACGCUGAGGCGCGAAAGCGUGGGGAGCAAACAGGAUUAGAUACCCUAGUAGUC